rnacentral:rRNA from 2 species
GUCUAGGUACCAUGAGCGAGAGGGUCACACCUGUUCCCAUCCCGAACACAGCAGUUAAGCCUCUCAGCGCCGAUGAUAGCAGCAAUGCAAAAGUAGGCCGGUGCCUGGAC